GACAGGGAUAGAGAGAGACAGGGAUAGAGAGAGACAGGGGAUAGAGAGAGACAGGGAUAGAGAGAGACACGGGGUAGAGAGAGACAGGGAUAGAGAGAGACAGGGAUAGAGAGAGACAGGGGAUAGAGAGAGACAGGGAUAGAGAGAGACAGGGGAUAACGAGAGACAGGGGAUAGAGAGAGACAGGGGAGAGAGAGAGACAGGGGAUAGAGACAGACCGGGAUAGAGAGAGACAGGAGAUAGAGAGAGACAGGGGUAGAGAGAGACAGGGGAUAGAGAGAGACAGGGGAUAGAGGGAGACAGGGAUAGAGAAAGACAGGGGAUAGCGAGAGACAGGGGUAGAGAGAGACAGGGGGUAGAAAGAGACAGGGAGUAGAGAGAGACAGGGGAAGAGAGAGACAGGGGGAAGAGAGAGACAGGGGAUAGAGACAGACAGCGAUAGAGAGAGACAGGGGAUAGAGAGAGACAGGGGAUAGAGAGAGACAGGGGAAGAGAGAAACAGGGGGUAGAGAGAGACAGGGGGUAGAGAGAGACAGGGGUAGAGAGAGACAGGGGAUAGAGAGAGACAGGGGUAGAGAGAGACAAGGGUAGAGAGAGACAGGGGAAGAGAGAGACAGGGGAUAGAGAGAGACAGGGAUAGAGAGAGAC
ensembl:lncRNA